rnacentral:rRNA from 1 species
GGCGUGCUUAACACAUGCAAGUCGAGCGGAAAGGCCCUUCGGGGUACUCGAGCGGCGAACGGGUGAGUAACACGUGAGCAACCUGCCCCAGGCUUUGGGAUAACCCCGGGAAACCGGGGCUAAUACCGGAUAUGACCUUGCACCGCAUGGUGUUUGGUGGAAAGUUUUCGGCUUGGGAUGGGCUCGCGGCCUAUCAGCUUGUUGGUGGGGUGAUGGCCUACCAAGGCGACGACGGGUAGCCGGCCUGAGAGGGCGACCGGCCACACUGGGACUGAGACACGGCCCAGACUCCUACGGGAGGCAGCAGUGGGGAAUAUUGCACAAUGGGCGGAAGCCUGAUGCAGCGACGCCGCGUGAGGGAUGACGGCCUUCGGGUUGUAAACCUCUUUCAGCAGGGACGAAGCGUAAGUGACGGUACCUGCAGAAGAAGCGCCGGCCAACUACGUGCCAGCAGCCGCGGUAAGACGUAGGGCGCGAGCGUUGUCCGGAUUUAUUGGGCGUAAAGAGCUCGUAGGCGGCUUGUCGCGUCGACCGUGAAAACCUGGGGCUCAACCCCAGGCCUGCGGUCGAUACGGGCAGGCUAGAGUUCGGUAGGGGAGACUGGAAUUCCUGGUGUAGCGGUGAAAUGCGCAGAUAUCAGGAGGAACACCGGUGGCGAAGGCGGGUCUCUGGGCCGAUACUGACGCUGAGGAGCGAAAGCGUGGGGAGCGAACAGGAUUAGAUACCCUGGUAGUCCACGCUGUAAACGUUGGGCGCUAGGUGUGGG